UAGACUAAAUUUAUCUAUACUAAUAAAAAAGUGAGUUUUAAAUUUUAUUUCCUUUCUAGAAUACUAUCCCCCAUUAAUAUAAUUCCAAUAACAUACUAAUAAUAUCAUUCAUUCAAAUUUUAUAAGUAUAAAUCACAACCGUACAAUUUUUAUUUUAUUUUUAAAUUAUUAUAAAAUGUAUUAAUUCUUAGCCAUUGGAUCUAAUCCAACAGCCGACGUAUCAAAUCCUCUAACAGUGCGUAUCAAAUCCCACAUUUUAUAUACGUACCCUAUCUCCUAACAUAAUAUCUAUAUUAUAUUUUAUCUAAUAAUAAUUAUCUUUAUACUUCAUACUUAUUUAUAUCUAUACUAUAUAUAAAAGCAUAUAGAAAUUCUUAUAAUGACAGACGGAAUUAAAAAAAAUAAAAGUAAAAUUUUUUGUCAAUGGUUAUGAUUAAUUUGUUAAAAAGAUAUCUCAAACAAAAACGAAUGGUUAUGAUCAAUCUAUUAAAAAAUAGUAUUCUUAUCUAUCAAUAUAAAUAUCAAAUCCUACGAAUGGUUAUGAUUAAUUUGUUAUAAAUUAUUUCAAAUAAAAAAACAGUUAUGAUCAAUCUGUGUCACGCCCCGGGGUCCAUUUUAGUUUGAAAAUACAGCGGAAAUAACUAGAAAUUUUUUUUGAAAGAUGUGACCCCAGGGUAUGCCAGAUCCGCCACAAAUACAAGGAGUCCACUGUUCACACGGACAGAGUCUCCCCUGUAUUUGCACGGCGUCGCACAAGUACAAGGUGUUUAUCCAGGAUUACAAUCACAGUUAAAUGAACAUAUAACCAAAUGUACAUUCCUACACCAGUCAUCACAGAUUCACAUUCAUUUGUUAAAUCAUAAAUCCACAUCUAUUAAUUAAAACGUUUUCUACCCGGAAACUGAUUUUGAAAUACUAGAUACAAAAUCUACGAGAAAAUCUUUUUAAAACUGUUUCCCACACAGGAACCUUUUUCUUUAAACGCUACCACGAGGGGUAGAAAAUCAUUUCCAAUACUUUACAUGAAAACCACG
rnacentral:lncRNA from 1 species